UGUGUAACAUGCAGCAUGCCUUCGAUCCAAAUAAACUCCCAGAAUUAUUAAAAGAAUGGUUUUUUCCUCCUGAGGUCAAGGAUGAAUCCUUAGCACCCAGAAGUGGGGAGCAAUGCGGCUAGGACAGGUAACGCAGGCAGGACGCUAUUCAGUGCUGCCCCCAGAGAGGACCAACAUCCAGAAGCUCAGUUUUGCUGGUCACUUAGCUGAGAACCUGAGGUUUGGCAUGGACCCACAUGUCUUCAGAUGCCUGAAAGCUGCAGUACAGUAUGUGACCAUUUUUCCUGCUGACCCUUAGAGCAUUACAGCUUCUACUUUGUGUACCUUGAGCGUCCUACACUUGAGAUGUUCAAAACUAAUUCAGGCUCAGCAAUGUCUUCCUCUUCCAGCUCUGUUCCAAAGUUGCAAUCAAUGGGAAACUCAAAUUUCUUUGACUCUGACAGAAAGAAAAAAAAAAAGUAAAAUAAAAUGGACCCAGGGUCAUGUUGUGCUUC